UCGGGGGCAGGCGAGAGUCGAACGCUUCGCCAGAGCCAAACCCCGAAAUCACCAUGCCAUCAUCAUCAUCACCAUCAUCAUCACCACCAUCAUCACAAUCAUCGCCGCCUCGGUCCGACAAGCAAGGAAACUGGAGUGCCCGGAGAAAACCCACGCAGGCAUGGGGAGAACAUGCAAACUCCACACAGACCCCGUCCUCCAUUUCCAUCCAGCAUUUGCUGAUCCACCCAAAUGGAGACGAAUCCUGACCGCGAGUGAAGGAUUUUAACCACGUGCGCACACCAUGAAAGCUGAAAGCAGGAGUGCCGGACCAUCCAGCGUAUACAGCACAGCAAGAGCUGCUGCCGCACAGGAAACUGUAAUUGCCCGGAGGCCGAAGGCAGCCACUUUCAAACAAGGUCGUUCAUCUUCCGCUGGAAAAGGAAAUGGUCUUCAGCCCUGAUCCUUAAUCACCCCCCCCCCUACAGCCGCAGUGUACAAGGUCAUCAGGGAAGCCUUGCGACAAACACACUUACUCACACUCAGACUGCAUCGCCCAUCAUAAACUGACAAGCCUCAAGACCUACGUUGAUUAUUACAAACAAGGAAUUUUAUGUUAGAAUGUAAAUAAAUGUAGUAGAUGGAGGUUACAGCUUUUUAGAAUUAAUUAUUGGAUUGAUUCAUCGAAAAAAAAUCUAUUUUGAGUCCAAUUUAAUGUGAAUUAUAAUUUUUUUAAUUAUUGUUAUUUGGUAUUGUUAAAUUGGUAAAUGUUUAACACAACCAAAUCAAACACAUUUAAGUAAUAUCACAUGAGAUCACAUGAUAUUUUAUUCACUAACUUUUUGAAACUGAGAGCUAGGUCUUGGGUACUUCUUGAUAUCCACUUCUGAGCAUGCUUCAGGUUCAACUACUACAG